rnacentral:rRNA from 1 species
AUUGAACGCUGGCGGAAUGCUUUACACAUGCAAGUCGAGCGGCAGCGCGGGGCAACCUGGCGGCGAGCGGCGAACGGGUGAGUAAUGCAUCGGAACGUACCCAGUCGUGGGGGAUAACUGUCCGAAAGGACAGCUAAUACCGCAUACGUCCUGAGGGAGAAAGCGGGGGAUCGCAAGACCUCGCGCGAUUGGAGCGGCCGAUGCCGGAUUAGCUAGUUGGUAGGGUAAGCCUACCAAGGCGACGAUCCGUAGCUGGUCUGAGAGGACGACCAGUCACACUGGAACUGAGACACGGUCCAGACUCCUACGGGAGGCAGCAGGUGGGGUAAUUUUGGACAAGUGGGGGCAACCC